UAGGGAAUCUUCGGCAAUGGGGGCAACCCUGACCGAGCAACGCCGCGUGAGUGAAGAAGGUUUUCGGAUCGUAAAGCUCUGUUGUAAGAGAAGAACUGUAGGAAGAGUGGAAAGUUUCCUACUUGACGGUAUCUUACCAGAAAGGGACGGCUAACUACGUGCCAGCAGCCGCGGUAAUACGUAGGUCCCGAGCGUUGUCCGGAUUUAUUGGGCGUAAAGCGAGCGCAGGCGGUUUAAUAAGUCUGAAGUUAAAGGCAGUGGCUCAACCAUUGUACGCUUUGGAAACUGUUAAACUUGAGUGCAGAAGGGGAGAGUGGAAUUCCAUGUGUAGCGGUGAAAUGCGUAGAUAUAUGGAGGAACACCGGUGGCGAAAGCGGCCCUCUGGUCUGUAACUGACGCUGAGGCUCGAAAGCGUGGGGAGCAAACAGGAUUAGAUACCCUGGUA
rnacentral:rRNA from 1 species